UACGUAGGGUGCGAGCGUUGUCCGGAAUUAUUGGGCGUAAAGAGCUCGUAGGCGGUGUGUCGCGUCGGCCGUGAAAACCUGGGGCUCAACUCUGGGCGUGCGGUCGAUACGGGCAUCACUAGAGUUCGGCAGGGGAGACUGGAAUUCCUGGUGUAGCGGUGAAAUGCGCAGAUAUCAGGAGGAACACCGGUGGCGAAGGCGGGUCUCUGGGCCGUAACUGACGCUGAGGAGCGAAAGCAUGGGGAGCGAACAGG
rnacentral:rRNA from 1 species